GAUCUCAGGUUACUUCUUUGAUCUAUCCACGUCUUCUGGGUGCCCCCUGCGCUCGCAGUGGGGAAACAUGCCAAGAGCUGCGUUGCCAGCACCAGCAAAUGGAAAGAAGCUCCAUUCCUGCCUGGGGAAUCGUGAUGGAAAAUGUUCUUUCAUAAUAACCUGCUAAAGAGCGAAGUUUUCCUCGACGUCAACCAGACCCCGACGAUCAGCUGCGACAAAUGCCGAAAUGUCAUCCAUUUAGCAUUCAGAAUAUACAUAGGCCCAGUCUAUACGUGUGUGUGUAUGUUUGUGUGCUACGGGAAAUUGUAUACAACGCAUGUGACAUCAAUGGGAAGACAAAGUGCAAAAAUCUGUCGAAGGCAGGCCCAGGUUACGCGAGAGCUGCGUGACACGCCGUAUUUGAAACUAAGUAACGUCGACGAAGACGGUGAAAUGUCGACGGAGCCAUCGAUCGACGGUGAAGAACCAAGGGGCAGAGGUCGUCUUGAUAGGAGAUCUAGAGGAGGAAAUAAUGGCAACGAUAUCGAACAGGGUUGCAGUACGAGGGGACCGAAUACCAUACAAGAAUCUUCGUUAACACAAAGCAGUCAGCUUCAUCACAGCGGAUAUGACAGCACUGACAGUGACCCUCCUCCACCGAACAGAGAUUAUCAGGGUACCUACUCUUACAGCUCGGGAAGUCGUGGCGACGACAGCCAUAUCGGAGAAGGGGCGCACCUGAACCAGGCGACCUCUUUUUCACAGUCCAACUAUCAGGGCAACAGCUAUCAGCAAAGUUACCAGGCCUCAACUGCCCCCGUGCCCACCGAGUACCUGCGGUUGCCGUCCGAGACAACGCCUCUCCUUAAACUUAAACAAAAUCGGUCUCGCACUGCGUCUGCCGCGUCAACUUUUCUGUCAAGUCAACAUGAUGAUGGAUUUUAUCAGAGUGGGUUGCAGUCGGAUAUUGGCGCGGGCGGAGACGGAAAAUUGAAACACUGGGCCAACAUUCUCAAGAUUGUGCUUCUGACAGCCUCUGUUGUCUUCGUUGUAAUAGUGAUGAGCUUUGUGGAAGAGACGAAGGAAUCGUGGCUAAGCAUUUCGCUAAAUAAUGAAGACCCGUUUUACGUAAGUUUAAGGCACCGACUGAGCCCAUCGUAUCCGAUUUUGCGACUCAAAGCUGCUGGACCAUUCCUACCGGAAAGCCUAGCAAAUUUGUCAAGCGUUGAUACGGUGUUCGCUCUUGUCAGGAAGUUCCCAGAUGGAUCACAUCAAUUGGUGAAUGGCCACGAACCACUUGUGGUCCCGACGGCACCUCCGAUCGUGGCACCUCACAUGUCGCCAUCAGGUGUCGAGCACAUGUUUAUUUUUAAGCUGACAGAACUUCUCGAUGCGUCGGAAGAAUUUGAACUGCUUGUACAGGCGCGCCAUCUUCAGGGCCAGGUGUCCGUUAGCCUCCAAAUGACACCGUUCACUGAGUUCACGCAGAUCGAGUUAAUAAUGGCUAGCUUCGUUUUAGUCGGCCUUUAUGUGCUUAUUAUCUUCGAACUUUGUCACCGAACACUCGCAGCAAUGUUAGGCGCUACCCUGGCUAUCGCAUGUCUGGCGCUCAUCGGAGAUCGACCGACGCUGGAGAAAGUGGUGUCCUGGCUGGAUGUGGAGACUCUCUGUUUACUUUUCGGAAUGAUGGUCAUUGUGGCGAUAUUGUGCGAGACGGGCUUUUUCGAUUACACGGCAGUCCUGGCAUUCCGGGUUGCGCGCGGCAAAGUAUGGCCUUUGAUAACUACGUUGUGCCUCUUUACCGCGAUCAUCUCGGCGUUCCUGGACAAUGUGACUACAAUCCUACUCAUGACGCCCGUCACUAUCAAGCUUUGUGAAGUAAUGAACCUCGAUCCAAAACAUGUACUCAUCUCUUUGGUGAUGUUUUCGAAUAUAGGAGGUGCAGGAACACCCGUCGGCGAUCCCCCGAAUGUUAUCAUCAUUUCUAAUCCCAAGGUUCAAGCCAGUGGCGUGACUUUUACAAACUUCACGAUGCAUCUUCUACCCGGCGUUCUGUUAGCUGGCAUAGGAGCUUACGUCUAUCUGCGCCUUUAUUAUCGUGAUGACUCCAGUCUUAGGCACCAACAGCCCCAGGAGGUGGUCGAGAUUCAGCAUGAAAUCGAUAUCUGGCAGAAGGCUUGUCGUUCUUUAUCAGAGUAUUCCCGUGACGAAAGCCACGUGCGUGCUAUCUUAAAAAAGAAAGUCAAGAACCUUAAAAAUCUCUACCGUAAAAAAUUGGUGGAAUCCUCUAGCCCAUCAAACGCUGACUUUAAACACAAUCUAAAGCAGCUAAGCGACAAAUACAAGAUUCGCAAUUGGUUUCUUCUAAUCAAGAGCGGAGUCGUACUGUCGUUUGUAAUCACCUUAUUUUUCUUACAGUCGAUACCUGAACUCAACCUCAGUCUCGGUUGGAUUGCGAUCCUUGGCGCCCUUGCUUUGCUUGUUUUGGCUGACAUGGAAGAAUUAGAGGGUGUCUUCGGACGUGUCGAAUGGACAACUCUCCUAUUUUUUGCAGCACUCUUCGUCGUCAUGGAAGCCCUUACCGAACUCAAAUUACUGCAAUUUAUUGGGGAUCAGACAGAAGAUUGGAUUUGUGCAGUGGACGAAGAGCACCGUCUUGUUGUGGGUAUUGUGAUUAUUACAUGGGUAUCAUCGUUGGCCUCAUGUUUUAUUGACAACAUACCGUUCACCACUGUGAUGGUCAAAAUUGUCGCCAAGCUUGGUGAGUCGGAGGCUCUUAAUUUGCCGGUACAACCUCUCAUCUAUGCGUUGGCAUUUGGCGCGUGUCUUGGAGGUAACGGAACCCUUAUCGGAGCCUCCGCGAAUGUUGUCUGCGCAGGCGUUGCGGAACAUCACGGUUAUCGAUUUACGUUCAUCGAUUUCUUCAAGAUGCGCCCACUAGAUAACUGGCCACUCGGCUAAAAGCACUCUUCGAAAUCGCCAAAUCAUUUCAUAUGCGUUUAGCCCCCUGAUUCACCGUUAACAACUUGCCCCAGACAGCGUACGGCGUACGAUGUCUCCGAAAAUGCACGGGUUGCACGUCCAGUCUCAAUAGAAGCAAGCUUGCCUUAUUUAAUCACAGUGGCUUCGGCAUCGUCAACAAGCGGAAGCAGCUCGGGAUGAAGUAGCACCCGAGGCUAAUGGGCAAGAUAGCAUAAAUCUGUCGGCCGGCAACGAAAGCGCCUGUGCGGUGUCCUGGAACUCCGCUCUUCGACUCGCGAUAUGGAGCCUUGAGUGUGUGAAGAUUACUACGAAAUCCGGCAACCUAUGUAGCACCAAUACGUUAAGAAUAUAUACAGCUCUCACAGCAAGAACUCAACCAUUUUUUUUUUUACUAUUAUGAAGGAGAAGGCGUUGAUUUAUAUUAAGUGGCAUUAUAAACAACAACUGCAUAACGCAUUCGAUAUAAUAAUCAAAUAAUAAUAAUUGUUAUUAUUAUAUACCGAAAUUAGAUACAAGCAUUGGUUAAUGUGUUCGGUUAAAUGAUAGUUCUGCUUAAAUAGGAUUUUCAUGCAUGAUAUUUUAACAUGGUUCCUUUUUAAACGAUUUUGUUUGUAAGGUAUCAAUGAUGAGUUUUUUAAAGAUGCUCAUUGACCAAAAUCGGACCAAUCUACAUUAAACGAGAGUCUCAUAAGGUCUUUGUUUGUGGCCAGUAUGAUUUAUUUAUAUACUACUAAUAGGAGCAUAACAGAGGCAAGCGCGGCAUAACGUCGCGUCGCACAGUUGUGUUGCAGAAUAAACAGCAGUCAAAGGCACACAAUUAAUUGGAACGGGCCGUUUUUACGUGUCUGGAGUUCUAGACAUACGAUAAAUUUACAGGAAUUAUAUGCUCUCAUGUUUAUAUAUUCACGCUUUUGUUUGUGCACUUCAUGGACAUGCGGUUCCAACGACUUCAGUUCUCUUAUCAAGCAGACCAGGUCUGGUUAAGGUAACGGACGAGGCUAAGGAGAAGGAUAGCGUGAGCCUGUCAAAUAGUAACUGCUGCGCCUGUGUGGAUUCUACCACCAACGGGGCCUCGGUCUCAUAAUCAUAUGAUUAAUAAUACGUUGUUGUAUGCCUGUCUGUAUUAUGUGUGUGCUUUUUGUUUUUAGAACAUUAUUACCAUUGACUGGUUCAUUUGUCUUCUAGCUUGGUUACUGCUAGAAUGUCACGCUCACCCUUUCGUACUAAUGUAAUGUCUAUUUACAUAACGCAUCGCAUAUAAUAGU